GCAAGUCGAGGGGUAACAGGAGUGCUUGAACUCGCCGACGACCGGCGCACGGGUGCGUAACGCGUAUAGAACCUACCUUUUACAGGGGGAUAGCCUUUAGAAAUGAAGAUUAAUACCCCAUAGUAUUGAGACUUGGCAUCAAGACUUAAUUAAAGAUUUAUCGGUAAAAGAUGGCUAUGCGUCCUAUUAGUUAGAUGGUGAGGUAACGGCUUACCAUGGCUACGAUAGGUAGGGGCGCUGAGAGGGGGAUC
rnacentral:rRNA from 1 species